AAUCCUAACGUAUUUAAAUCAUUAUAAAUUACGAUAACGCAUUUGAUUAUAACUUGAACUAAAAUAAUAUUACUUAUGUGGAUAAGUAGAUAUAGUCAUUUAUAGAUAUGAUACAUUUUAAUGCAGGUAUAAAAUAUAGACCACAUAGAUUUUUGUUUCCAGACAUGUUUUUGCGGUAGUUUACUGGGAUAAUAGUUGAUAACGGUAAAAUGAUUUUAGCACUAUGAUUAUGUCAGUCGUGUUAUAAUAUAAACUAAUAUGAUAAUAUAGUGUUGAGAAUUUCCAUAUGAAUAGAAAUCACGAAAAUCCUAGAACAGCACAUUAUUCCGCCAUUGUGCACCAGGUAUAUAGAAAGUUUGGGAACGCUAAAUUCGUUAUGAAAAUUAUUAUUAAUAUGUGAUAGUAUACAAUGAGA